rnacentral:rRNA from 1 species
GGGGAUUAGUGGCGAACGGGUGAGUAACACGUGGGCAAUCUGCCCUGCACUCUGGGACAAGCCCUGGAAACGGGGUCUAAUACCGGAUACGACCACUGAGGGCAUCCUCGGUGGUGGAAAGCUCCGGCGGUGCAGGAUGAGCCCGCGGCCUAUCAGCUUGUUGGUGGGGUGAUGGCCUACCAAGGCGACGACGGGUAGCCGGCCUGAGAGGGCGACCGGCCACACUGGGACUGAGACACGGCCCAGACUCCUACGGGAGGCAGCAGUGGGGAAUAUUGCACAAUGGGCGAAAGCCUGAUGCAGCGACGCCGCGUGAGGGAUGACGGCCUUCGGGUUGUAAACCUCUUUCAGCAGGGAAGAAGCGAAAGUGACGGUACCUGCAGAAGAAGCGCCGGCUAACUACGUGCCAGCAGCCGCGGUAAUACGUAGGGCGCGAGCGUUGUCCGGAAUUAUUGGGCGUAAAGAGCUCGUAGGCGGCUUGUCACGUCCGUUGUGAAAGCCCGGGGCUUAACCCCGGGUCUGCAGUCGAUACGGGCAGGCUAGAGUUCGGUAGGGGAGAUCGGAAUUCCUGGUGUAGCGGUGAAAUGCGCAUAUAUCAAGA